rnacentral:rRNA from 1 species
CCUACGGGGGGCUGCAGUGAGGAAUAUUGGUCAAUGGACGAGAGUCUGAACCAGCCAAGUAGCGUGAAGGAUGACUACCCUAUGGGUUGUAAACUUCUUUUAUAUGGGAAUAAAAUGUUCCACGUGUGGGAUUUUGUAUGUACCAUAUGAAUAAGGAUCGGCUAACUCCGUGCCAGCAGCCGCGGUAAUACGGAGGAUCCGAGCGUUAUCCGGAUUUAUUGGGUUUAAAGGGAGCGUAGGUGGAUUGUUAAGUCAGUUGUGAAAGUUUGCGGCUCAACCGUAAAAUUGCAGUUGAAACUGGCAGUCUUGAGUACAGUAGAGGUGGGCGGAAUUCGUGGUGUAGCGGUGAAAUGCUUAGAUAUCACGAAGAACUCCGAUUGCGAAGGCAGUUCACUGGACUGCAACUGACACUGAGGCUCGAAAGUGUGGGUAUCAAACAGGAUUAGAUACCCGUGUAGUC